ensembl:rRNA 5S_rRNA 5S ribosomal RNA
GUCUACGGCCAUACCACCCUGAACGCGCCCGAUCUCGUCUGAUCUCGGAGAAAUGGACAAAUGGUUGGGCCGAGAAGGCUCUGCGCCCCAAGAAUGUUCAUAAAACAGUACCGAAUGCU